CAGCGGCUGUGUGCAGCGGCCACCGGCUAUUUGAUAAGAGAACAUCAUUGUGAUAACAUUAUUUUAUAGUGUUAAAAGCUUAGUAGUAAAAUAUGUUUCACUGUGAGUGCAAUAAAUGAUGUAAAAUAUAAUAAUGGGUAGCAAAGAUUUGGUUCUUAUUCUAGUGCUGUAUCAUUUCAUUGCAACAUCUGAACCCGCGAGGAUAUUAGCAGCAUUACCGAUCCCCAUGCCAAGCCAUCAAAUGGUGUUCCGAGUAUUAAUGCAAGAACUUGUUAAACGUGGUCAUCAUGUCACGGUAAUAACUGCACUGCCAUCAUAUCCAGACGGCCAGGCACCUGUAAACUAUACAGAGAUUAAUGUACAGCAAGUUAUUGAAGUUCUGAGAACAAAUCUACUGACAGAACAAUUAAAGAUAUCGGAUGAUUUAGUGUCUCAGUUUGCAAGUACUUUUAGGACAUGUGUUGAUAUAAAUGAUAAAUUAUUCGGAAUGGAAAUUAUUCAAAAUUUUAUCCGAAAUACAGAGAGUACGUAUUUUGAUUUAAUUUUUGUAGAGGAUUCUUUAAAAUCAUCAUUAAUAUUUUCUCAUAUCUUCAAAGCACCAGUUAUACAUUUAAGUUCGUUUGGAGGUACCUUUGAAACAUUCGAGGCAGUAGGUGCUCCGACGCAUCCAUUCCUUUAUCCUCUCGCAAUUAGACAACGAUAUAGUGAUCUAUCUGUCUGGGAAAAACUUGUAGAAUUGUAUGUGGAAUAUCGUUUACAAAAGGUAUAUCAUGAACAUGAAAUGAUGGACAAUGAUAUAUUCAAAAAAUACUUUGGAAUAAAUGCCCCAACGAUAGAUAAUCUAAAGAAAAAUAUAGAUAUGAUUUUUUUAAAUAUUCAUCCUAUUUGGGACUCCAAUCGUCCUGUUCCUCCUAAUGUUAUUUACUUAGGAGGUCUCCAUCAAAAAGCUCAACAAGAAUUACCCAAGGAAUUAAAAUCAUCUCUUGAUUCUUCAACCAAUGGUGUAAUCUACGUGAGUUUUGGGACUAAUGUUAAUCCGUCGUUAUUGCCCCCCGAAAAACUACAAAUAUUUAUAAAUGCUUUUUCUGAAUUGCCUUACGACGUAUAUUGGAAAUGGAAUGAUGAAAACUUGCCAGGAUUGUCGGAAAAUAUUAAGAUCCUUAAUUGGUUUCCUCAGUCAGAUCUACUUCGACAUCCUAAAGUAAAACUUUUUAUAACACAAGGAGGAUUGCAUUCUACAGAUGAAGCAAUUGUAGGUGGAGUUCCUCUUAUUGGCAUACCGAUGAUGUGGGAUCAAUGGUAUAAUGUAAAUAAAUAUGUACAGUUAAAAAUUGGAUUACAAUUGGAUAUUAAUUUUAUUACCGAGAAUGAAUUAAGAGAGGCUAUACAAUCAGUGAUAAAAGAUAAAAGGUACAAAGAAAAUAUUAUCAAGUUAAACUCCGUGAUGCGCGAUCAACUGCAGUCACCUCUAGAACGUGCUGUUUGGUGGACAGAACAUGUUAUACAUAAUCGCGGCGCAAACCAUUUGCGUGCUCCAUCAGCGGACUUGACUUGGGCAGAAUACUACGAACUCUAUUGCCUUAGGGACUCGGGGAGUCCUGCAGUGAACAGCAAAUAGGAAUGGAAACUGUCUUAGUGAAUGAUAAAACAGUCAAGACAAAAAGAACAGGAUUCAAUAAUAUCGAACAGUAUUUUAUUUGCAAACCGUGUGGCUUCACGUAGCGUUUGCAAUUAAAGAAUUAUUUGCCACAAAGCUAUCAUCAUCACAACCCAUGGUUCGCGUUGGCCCAUUACUAAGUAGGGGUUUCCACUCAGAAUGAGAAACAUUAAGACCAUAAUAUUCAUUACGCUAGCCAGUGCGGAUUGGCAGAGUUCAGACACAUUUGAGAACACUAUGAGGAACUCUCAGGCAUGCUGGUUUCCUCACAAUGUUUUCAGUACCCAUUAAAGAAAGCGAUAUUUAGUUGCUUAAAAUGCACACAACUCCGAAAAGUUAGAGAUGUGUGUCUGGCAUUAAACCUCAUAGCAUGCUAAUGUUUGUUUUCCCGGGAUAAAAGUAACCUGUGCCCCUCUCCAGGUCCUUAACUAUACCCGUGCAAAAAAUUAUGUCAAUCGGCAGCUGUGUUGCGAAGUGAUUGAAGGUCAAAAA